GCACCUACGGGACGCAGCAGUAGGGAAUCUUCCACAAUGGGCGAAAGCCUGAUGGAGCAACGCCGCGUGGGUGAAGAAGGUCUUCGGAUCGUAAAACCCUGUCGUUAGAGAAGAAAGAGCGUGAGAGUAACUGUUCACGUUUCGACGGUAUCUAACCAGAAAGCCACGGCUAACUACGUGCCAGCAGCCGCGGUAAUACGUAUGUGGCAAGCGUUAUCCGGAUUUAUUGGGCGUAAAGGGAACGCAGGCGGUCUUUUAAGUCUGAUGUGAAAGCCUUCGGCUUAACCGGAGCAGUGAAUUGGAAA
rnacentral:rRNA from 1 species